rnacentral:lncRNA from 13 species
AUGCUCAAGGGCCAGUUAAGCUUCUUUAAUGCCUGGCACCUGCACAGCGAGCAGCAAGGGCCCCCAAGUGCCUGGUCGCUGGAGAAGCAUGGGAGGCUUGCCUCCUUCUUCCCCACAGGCUUCCUGCCACUUCCCCCAAGCCCCCGACAGACCAGUGGCUCCUCAGCCCUCACCAGUCCCCGGUCUCAGUGUGUUUCAGUUCUACCUCUUCACCAGCCCUCUGGUGGCCUCAGCUAUAACCUGUACCAACGAGGGGGAUGGGGAUGGCCACAAGACGAGAGAAUCUGGGGUCCCAUCCUUCCUGACCACCCCUCUCUCACUCCAGCCAUCAGGAGGAACUGGGCAAGCCCCCUUACAGGGAAGGUGGCUUGGGCCGGAUCGAGGCAGCCCAGCCGGUGGCCGCGGGAUUGGGGUUCCCCAUUGAGCCGAGAGGAGCGCGACAAAGGAUGCUUGCUGCCGGGGCCACCGUCUUGGCGCCCCAACUUUGAGCGCGGUGCCCGCGCCCCUGGGAAGCCGGCCAGCUGCACUGAGAUCCCCGGCGUCCCGGCUGGGCAAGGGGCCGGGAGCGUCUGUAGGCGGCGCUGUCCCGGAUCUCCGGAACCCAGGAAAGGAUCCCGGAGCUUCACGCAGGCGGCGGGCAGCCAAACCGCGCCAGGGAACCGCGCUGCCCUCGGAAACUCCGCGUGCCUCAGCAGAUGCCCCUUGCCCUGA